GGCGGGCCUCCCCGCAUUGCAGCCCGGUGAACCUGGUCAGGUCCGGAAGGAAGCAGCCACAGCCGGAUCCUGCAAGUGCCGGGGUAAGGCUCGCCACC
rfam:Betaproteobacteria bacterium RIFCSPLOWO2_12_FTLL_68_20 rifcsplowo2_12_scaffold_4062, whole genome shotgun sequence.